UGAGUACGAGAUGCUACGGCAUCGAAGCAGUCUAUGUCAUACUUCCAAGAAAAGCUUGCACUGUCAUAAACAAAGAAUGCCUGUACCAUAACCGACACAGGUGGGUAGGUAGAGUAUACUAAGGGGCGCGAGAUAACUCUCUCUAAGGAACUCGGCAAAAUGACUCCGUAACUUCGGGAGAAGGAGUGCCUUAUUUCUAAGGUUGCAAUAACAAGAUCCAAGCAACUGUUUACCAAAAACACAGGUCUCCGCUAAGUCGUAAGACGAUGUAUGGGGGCUGACGCCUGCCCAGUGCCAGAAGGUUAAAGAAGUUGGUUAGCAUUAGCGAAGCUGAUAACUGAAGCCCUGGUGAACGGCGGCCGUAACAAUAACGGUCCUAAGGUAGCGAAAUUCCUUGUCGGGUAAGUUCCGACCCGCACGAAAGGCGUAAUGAUUUGGAUACUGUCUCGGAGAGGGGCUCGGUGAAAUAGACUUGUCUGUGAAGAUGCGGACUACCUGCACCUGGACAGAAAGACCCUAUGAAGCUUUACUGUAACUUGAGAUUGAAAUUGGACUUUAUUUGCGCAGUAUAGGUGGGAGGCGUUGAGAAUAAUCUUGCGGGAUUGUUGGAGCCAUCAGUGAGAUACCACUCUUGUAAUGUUAGAUUUCUAACUUUGUAUCAUUAUCUGGUCAAAGAACAGUUUCAGGCGGGCAGUUUGACUGGGGCGGUCGCCUCCCAAAAGGGUAACGGAGGCGCACAAAGGUUUCCUCUGAACGGGUAGAAAUCGUAUCUAGAGUGUAAAGGCAUAAGGAAGCUUGACUGUGAGACCUACAAGUCGAGCAGGGACGAAAGUCGGUCUUAGUGAUCUGACGGUGCUGAGUGGAAAGGCCGUCACUCAACGGAUAAAAGUUACUCUAGGAUAACAGGCUGAUCUCCCCCAAGAGUUCACAUCGACGGGGAGGUUUGGCACCUCGAUGUCGGCUCAUCGCAUCCUGGGGCGGUAGUCCGUCCCAAGGGUUGGGCUGUUCGCCCAUGAAAGCGGUACGCGAGCUGGGUUCAGAACGUCGUGAGACAGUUCGGUCCAUAUCCGGUGUAGGCGUUAGAAUAUUGAGAGGAGCCUUCUCUAGUACGAGAGGACCGAGAAGGACAUACCUCUGGUGUACCAGUUAUCGUGCCAACGGUAAACGCUGGGUAGCUAUGUAUGGAGUGGAUAACCGCUGAAAGCAUCUAAGUGGGAAGCCCACCUCAAGAUAAGUAUUCUCGU
rnacentral:rRNA from 1 species